CAACCGAAAACAGAGAGAACGAUAAGCCAAGCGAAGAAUAGUAUCAGUAUAUACGUAGUCCAUACUCCUGGAUACGUGAACCACUCCGUGUUUCUGUUCAGAUCCGCCGGUGGCGUCGCCUUCACGUAUAGAUUCGCCAUCAUAUGAUUUCUCUUUUUUCUUUCUCAAAUUAUUAUUAUAAUAAUUUUUUGUAAACCCUAAGCAAUCUGCUUACCAGCUCUCUUCGAUUAGACGGUUCUGUUAUGGAGGUUUUUGGGUUCACGUUCUGAAAAAGAGAAAUUGAAUGACAGGUUUUUGGAUUCAGGUUCUAAUAAAGAGAAAUUGAAUGAUUUGAUGAUUUUUUGCUUUUUCCGGAGACCAAUCCAAAAAACCAAAUGGCCUCAAUGACGGUGAUGGCGUGGCGAUUUGUAAUGAAAGCUUAUAGCUAAUAUUGAUUACUUUCUA
rnacentral:lncRNA from 1 species